rnacentral:snoRNA from 1 species
AACUAUGAUGGGGACAAAGAGUUUGCAAUUCCUUGUAUCUUUCCCAUGCUUGGUAUAAACUUUCACUAUCCUUUUGGGCAAAUGAAGAAGUUUGCUUCUUCAAGGU